UAUCAAAUCCAACAUCCAGAUGAUCCUGC
rnacentral:piRNA from 1 species